UGGUACUGGGUGGCACUGGGAUUGUUCAUGGGGCCCUUCCCAGCUCUGGGAGACACUGGUGCUUGCACUGAGAUGGUGCUGGGCUCUUCCCUGGGCUCAUCCCUUCUGAGAGAUGCUGGGAUGGCACUGGGUUCAUCCCACAUUGAAGGGACAUGCUGGUACUAGGGUGGCCCUGGGUUCUCCUGGGGCUCAUCCCAGCUGGAAGGGAGGUGCUGGAGCUGGUCCUGGGAUGGCACUGGGUUCGCUUUUCGGGAGCACUUCCCAGCUCAGGGAGACACUGGAGCUGUUCCUGGGAUGGUGCUGGGCUCUUCCCUGGGCUCAUCCCCUUUUGGGAAGGUGCUGUGCUUGCCCUGGGGGGUGCUGGGCUGUUUUUGGGGUGCCCUCCCCGGAGUGCCCAGUUUUGGGGUGUUGUCCAGGCACAGGUGUCGGCGCUGGAGCUCCGCUCUGCUCCCGCCCUGGGAUCGUCCCCGGAGCUGCAGCGGGAGCUGGAGCGGCUGCGGGUCGGGCCCAGCCUGGAGGAGCAGGUGAGGGGACACCCCCGGGGGGGACACUGUCCCCUCCUACCACCCUCCAACCUCCCCCAUUCCUGGCAGAUUGUGCUGCUGAAGGAGCAGGAGCUCCAGCGUCACCCCCCCGGGAUUUAGGGACAUCCCGGGACACCCGCAGGGACCGGCACAGCCCAUGGAGGAGGGGGAUCCAUCCCCAUCCCAAAUCCACAGCAGGGACCAGCACAGCCCAUGGAGGAGGGGGAUCCAUCCCCAUCCCAAAUCCACAGCAAGGACUGGCACAGCCCAUGGAGGAGGGGGAUCCAUCCCCACCCCAAAUCCACAGCAGGGACCAGCACAGCCCAUGGAGGAGGGGAAUCCAUCCCCAUCCCAAAUCCACAGCAGGGACUGGUACAACCCAUGGAGGAGGGGGAUCCAUCCCCAUCCCAAAUCCACAGCAGGGACUGGCACAGCUCAUUCCAUGGAUGAGGGGGAUCCAUCCCCAUCCCAAAAAACCAUGGCAGAGACCAUCACAGCUCAUUCCACGGAGGAGGGGGAUCCAUCCCCACCCCAAAUCCACAGCAGACACUGGCACAGCUCAUUCCAUGGAGGAGGGGGAUCCAUCCCCAUCCCUGCUCCGAACCCACAGCGAUUUUUGCCUCCAAAGCUGCACUUUUCCAAUGAGACGACCAAACUUGUCUAUUUUUGAUACAAUUUGGGGCCUGUUGGAUGGUUUUCCCAUUUUCCUAUUGCUUUUUUUAACAAAAAAAAGAGGGAAAUAUUCCCUGUUUUUAGUGCCAGAAGAACCAACUGGUUUAUUCCCACUCACCACAUCCUACUUUCCCCCCCUUUUCUAACACAAAACUCCCUGGAUUGGUGCUUUUAAAGGCUUUUUUUAGCAAAUAGUGGGAUUUUUUUACAUCUGUUUUUGAAACUGGGGGUUUUUACUGGUGCUACGGGGCAGCUCGAGGUUGGAAAACCCACUGGAAUCGAGGUGGUGGCUUCGAGUGCCCCCCAAUCCUCGGCAUUCCUGGCACGAAUAAAGGUGGAGAAAUCCAGACUGGGAGCUCCGAG
rnacentral:lncRNA from 1 species